CCCCCCAGUUUGUUGGGCAAACAAACUCAGUCGGGCAAUAUUCGCUUCACAGUCGGGCAAUAUGCCUUACUAUAAAAAUAAAUGGGACAAAUUCUGUCAUUUUUGUGGGAAAUUUAGUCAAUUUUGUGGGAAAUAUGCUACCUAAUAGGAAUUUUUCGUAAUCACUCCUCCCACCCCACCCCCCCGUCGACAACAAUUUCGGAAAGUUUCUCCGGCAAAUUUUUUUUGACAACUCGGGCACAAACCGAAAAAGUUGCGCAAAUUUCUUUCAGCC